AUUGAACGCUGGCGGCGUGCUUAACACAUGCAAGUCGAUCGGUAACAGGUGUAGCAAUACAUGCUGACGAGAGGCGGACGGGUGAGUAAUGCUUGGGAAUCUGCCUAUUAGUGGGGGACAACCCGGGGAAACGUCGGGCUAAUACCGCAUACGCUCUACGGAGGAAAGCCGGGACCGCAAGGCCUGGCGCUAAUAGAUGAGCCCAAGUCGGAUUAGCUAGUUGGUAGGGAACGGCCUACCAAGGCGACAAUCCGUAGCUGGUCUGAGAGGACGACCAGCCACACCGGAACUGAGACACGGUCCGGACUCCUACGGGAGGCAGCAGUGGGGAAGUAUUUGGACAAUGGGGGCGAACCCCUGAUCCAGCGACGCCGCGUGGGUGAAGAAGGCCUG
rnacentral:rRNA from 1 species